rnacentral:RNase_P_RNA from 1 species
GGGGUUCGUCGAGCCCGCCGGAUGGAGGAAAGUCCGAGCUCCCGAGGGCAGGGUGCCGGGUAACGCCCGGGUGCCGCAAGGCGACGGAAAGUGCCGCAGAGAGCAGACCGCCGAUGGCCCCCAGCGGGGCACAGGCAAGGGUGAAAGGGUGCGGUAAGAGCGCACCGGGCCGCUGGCAACAGGG